rnacentral:rRNA from 1 species
UACAGAGGGUGCAAGCGUUGUUCGGAAUUAUUGGGCGUAAAGCGCGUGUAGGCGGCUUUGCAAGUCGGGUGUGAAAGCCCUCAGCUCAACUGAGGAACUGCCCUCCAAACUGCUUUGCUUGAGGCCGGGAGAGGUGAGUGGAAUUCCCAGUGUAGCGGUGAAAUGCGUAGAUAUUGGGAGGAACACCAGUGGCGAAGGCGGCUCACUGGACCGGUAUUGACGCUGAGGAGCGAAAGCCAGGGGAGCAAACGGG